GAGGACACAGGCCCACGCGCUGUUCCCUGUGCCGCUGAGCCAGGGAGGGACUUCUUCCCUUCAAUACUAAGGAGUCAUUAAAAGUUUGACUCUGAGCCAGGAAUUGAAGCAGAUGUACUGGGCUCUUGCGAAAAAGCUUGUUCCCACAAGAUUGCCAGACAAAUUCUGCAGACUCAAGAUGUUUCAAGAGUUUGGGUAAUCAUCACAAUUUUUGGACUCCUAUCUGAGGAAGAGAAUUCUCAGUUGGAAAUAUCUAGAUGUCAGAUAUCCAGAAAAGACCAAAACUGUGAUUCAAAGUGAUGCAUGCAGUCAAAUGUC